AGUAAUGUGGCUUAGUGGUAGAGUGCUUGCCUAGCAUGCAUAAAGCCCCAGGUUCAAUUCCUCAAUACCA
rnacentral:tRNA from 1 species